rnacentral:rRNA from 1 species
AUUGAACGCUGGCGGCAGGCCUAACACAUGCAAGUCGAGCGGAAACGAUCCUAGCUUGCUAGGAGGCGUCGAGCGGCGGACGGGUGAGUAACGCGUAGGAAUCUGCCCGGUAGUUGGGGAUAGCCCGGAGAAAUCCGGAUUAAUACCGAAUAAUCUCUACGGAGGAAAGGGGGCUUCGGCUCUCGCUACUGGAUGAGCCUGCGUGAGAUUAGCUAGUUGGUGGGGGUAAAGGCUCACCAAGGCGACGAUCUCUAGCUGGUCUGAGAGGAUGAUCAGCCACACUGGGACUGAGACACGGCCCAGACUCCUACGGGGAGGCAGCAGUGGGGAAUAUUGGACAAUGGGGCAACCCUGAUCCAGCCAUGCCGCGUGUGUGAAGAAGGCUUUCGGGUUGUAAAGCACUU